GGGCGCGUAGAUCAGCUUGGAAGAUCGCUACCUUGGCAUGGUAGAGGCCGCGAGUUCAAAUCUCGCCGCGUCCA
rnacentral:tRNA from 1 species